CAGGACUUCUAUUUAAAUUUGAAUUUCAGAUAAACAAUGAAUACUUUUUAAUGUAAGCCUAUUCCGGAUAUUACAUGGGACAUACUUAUACUAAAAAUUAUUUGCUAUUUAUUUGAUUCAAAUUUAACUGGAUGUCCUCUA
rnacentral:miRNA from 1 species